rnacentral:RNase_P_RNA from 1 species
GAAGUUGGUCGGAUAGUCGCUGGUAGUUUUCUAUCAGAGGAAAGUCCGGGCUCCAUAGAGCAAAGUGCUGGCUAACAGCCAGAUAUGGUAACAUAAUGGAAAGUGCUGCAGAGAUUUAGACUACCCAUUUUUAUGGGAAAAGGUGAGAAGGUGCGGUAAGAGCGCACCGCGUGGAAGGCAACAACCGCGGCAAGGUAAACCCCACUUGGAGCAAGCUCAAAUAGGCUACCAUUGGUGCUGCUCGCACAAGGUAGCGGGUAGAGUGCUAAAGCAUAUUAGUAAUAAUAUGCGUAGAUGAAUGAUUAUCAAUAACAGAACCCGGCUUACAGACCGACUUCCCUA